rnacentral:rRNA from 1 species
UACGUAGGCAGCGAGCGUUGUUCGGAAUUACUGGGCGUAAAGAGUGUGUAGGCGGUGCUCUAAGUUCGGUGUGAAAUCUCCCGGCUUAACUGGGAGGGUGCGCCGGAAACUGGAGUGCUCGAGCGUGGGAGAGGAAAGCGGAAUUCCUGGUGUAGCGGUGAAAUGCGUAGAGAUCCGGAAGAACACCGGUGGCGAAGGCGGUCUGCUGGGCCAAGACUGACGCUGAGGCGCGACAGCGUGGGGAGCAAACAGG